rnacentral:pre_miRNA from 1 species
AGUUGAAUUUCUGAGUCAUAUAUUAAUUCUAUAUUUAACAUUUUGAAGAAAUGCCACACUAUUUUCCAAAGUGGCUGCACUAUUUUACAUUCCUACCAGCAAU